GACCAUCCUCCAAGGCUAAAUACUCCUGACUGACCGAUAGUGAACCAGUACCGUGAGGGAAAGGCGAAAAGAACCCCGGCGAGGGGAGUGAAAAAGAACCUGAAACCGUGUACGUACAAGCAGUGGGAGCACGCUUAGGCGUGUGACUGCGUACCUUUUGUAUAAUGGGUCAGCGACUUAUAUUCUGUAGCAAGGUUAACCGAAUAGGGGAGCCGAAGGGAAACCGAGUCUUAACUGGGCGUUAAGUUGCAGGGUAUAGACCCGAAACCCGGUGAUCUAGCCAUGGGCAGGUUGAAGGUUGGGUAACACUAACUGGAGGACCGAACCGACUAAUGUUGAAAAAUUAGCGGAUGACUUGUGGCUGGGGGUGAAAGGCCAAUCAAACCGGGAGAUAGCUGGUUCUCCCCGAAAGCUAUUUAGGUAGCGCCUCGUGAAUUCAUCUCCGGGGGUAGAGCACUGUUUCGGCAAGGGGGUCAUCCCGACUUACCAACCCGAUGCAAACUGCGAAUACCGGAGAAUGUUAUCACGGGAGACACACGGCGGGUGCUAACGUCCGUCGUGAAGAGGGAAACAACCCAGACCGCCAGCUAAGGUCCCAAAGUCAUGGUUAAGUGGGAAACGAUGUGGGAAGGCCCAGACAGCCAGGAUGUUGGCUUAGAAGCAGCCAUCAUUUAAAGAAAGCGUAAUAGCUCACUGGUCGAGUCGGCCUGCGCGGAAGAUGUAACGGGGCUAAACCAUGCACCGAAGCUGCGGCAGCGACGCUGAUGCGUUGUUGGGUAGGGGAGCGUUCUGUAAGCCUGUGAAGGUGUGCUGUGAGGUAUGCUGGAGGUAUCAGAAGUGCGAAUGCUGACAUAAGUAACGAUAAAGCGGGUGAAAAGCCCGCUCGCCGGAAGACCAAGGGUUCCUGUCCAACGUUAAUCGGGGCAGGGUGAGUCGACCCCUAAGGCGAGGCCGAAAGGCGUAGUCGAUGGGAAACAGGUUAAUAUUCCUGUACUUGGUGUUACUGCGAAGGGGGGACGGAGAAGGCUAUGUUGGCCGGGCGACGGUUGUCCCGGUUUAAGCGUGUAGGCUGGUUUUCCAGGCAAAUCCGGAAAACUAAGGCUGAGGCGUGAUGACGAGGCACUACGGUGCUGAAGCAACAAAUGCCCUGCUUCCAGGAAAAGCCUCUAAGCAUCAGGUAACAUCAAAUCGUACCCCAAACCGACACAGGUGGUCAGGUAGAGAAUACCAAGGCGCUUGAGAGAACUCGGGUGAAGGAACUAGGCAAAAUGGUGCCGUAACUUCGGGAGAAGGCACGCUGAUAUGUAGGUGAAGUCCCUCGCGGAUGGAGCUGAAAUCAGUCGAAGAUACCAGCUGGCUGCAACUGUUUAUUAAAAACACAGCACUGUGCAAACACGAAAGUGGACGUAUACGGUGUGACGCCUGCCCGGUGCCGGAAGGUUAAUUGAUGGGGUCAGCGCAAGCGAAGCUCUUGAUCGAAGCCCCGGUAAACGGCGGCCGUAACUAUAACGGUCCUAAGGUAGCGAAAUUCCUUGUCGGGUAAGUUCCGACCUGCACGAAUGGCGUAAUGAUGGCCAGGCUGUCUCCACCCGAGACUCAGUGAAAUUGAACUCGCUGUGAAGAUGCAGUGUACCCGCGGCAAGACGGAAAGACCCCGUGAACCUUUACUAUAGCUUGACACUGAACAUUGAGCCUUGAUGUGUAGGAUAGGUGGGAGGCUUUGAAGUGUGGACGCCAGUCUGCAUGGAGCCGACCUUGAAAUACCACCCUUUAAUGUUUGAUGUUCUAACGUUGACCCGUAAUCCGGGUUGCGGACAGUGUCUGGUGGGUAGUUUGACUGGGGCGGUCUCCUCCUAAAGAGUAACGGAGGAGCACGAAGGUUGGCUAAUCCUGGUCGGACAUCAGGAGGUUAGUGCAAUGGCAUAAGCCAGCUUGACUGCGAGCGUGACGGCGCGAGCAGGUGCGAAAGCAGGUCAUAGUGAUCCGGUGGUUCUGAAUGGAAGGGCCAUCGCUCAACGGAUAAAAGGUACUCCGGGGAUAACAGGCUGAUACCGCCCAAGAGUUCAUAUCGACGGCGGUGUUUGGCACCUCGAUGUCGGCUCAUCACAUCCUGGGGCUGAAGUAGGUCCCAAGGGUAUGGCUGUUCGCCAUUUAAAGUGGUACGCGAGCUGGGUUUAGAACGUCGUGAGACAGUUCGGUCCCUAUCUGCCGUGGGCGCUGGAGAACUGAGGGGGGCUGCUCCUAGUACGAGAGGACCGGAGUGGACGCAUCACUGGUGUUCGGGUUGUCAUGCCAAUGGCACUGCCCGGUAGCUAAAUGCGGAAGAGAUAAGUGCUGAAAGCAUCUAAGCACGAAACUUGCCCCGAGAUGAGUUCUCCCUGACUCCUUGAGAGUCCUGAAGGAACGUUGAAGACGACGACGUUGAUAGGCCGGGUGUGUAAGCGCAGCGAUGCGUUGAGCUAACCGGUACUAAUGAACCGUGAGGCUUAACCUUACAACGCCGAAGGUGUUU
rnacentral:rRNA from 1 species